UCCAACGCGUUGGGAGCUCUCCCAUAUGGUCGACCUGCAGGCGGCCGCGAAUUCACUAGUGAUUCGUAUUACCGCGGCUGCUGGCACGUAAUUGGCCGGUGCUUCUUCUGGACCUACCGUCACCACACCCAAAAAGGCACAGCUUCGUCAAUCCUGAAAGAGGUUUACAACCCGAAGGCCGUCAUCCCUCACGCGGCGUUGCUGGAUCAGGCUUCCGCCCAUUGUCCAAUAUUCCUUACUGCUGCCUCCCGUAGGAGUCUGGUCCGUGUCUCAGUACCAGUGUGGGGGAUCAUCCUCUCAGACCCCCUAUCGAUCGUCGCCUUGGUGAGCCGUUACCUCACCAACUAGCUAAUCGAGCGCAUGCUCAUCUUUAACCCCCGAAGGUUUGACCACAAAAAGAUGCCUCCUCGUGGUAUCAUGCGGUAUUAGCCCAUCUUUCGAUGGGUUAUUCCCCAGUUAAAGGUAGAUUGCAUACGUGUUACGCACCCGUGCGCCACUCGCCGGCAUGUAUUGCUACACCCGCUGCCGUUCGACUUGCAUGUAUUAUGCCUGCCGCUAGCGUUAAUCCUGAGCCAUGAUCAAACUCUAAUCGAAUUCCCGCGGCCGCCAUGG
rnacentral:rRNA from 1 species